rnacentral:rRNA from 1 species
CACGUAGUUAGCCGGGGCUUCUUAGUCAGGUAUCGUCAUUAUCUUCCCUGCUGAUAGAGCUUUACAUACCGAAAUACUUCUUCACUCACGCGGCGUCGCUGCAUCAGGGUUCCCCCCAUUGUGCAAUAUUCCCCACUGCUGCCUCCCGUAGGAGUCUGGGCCGUGUCUCAGUCCCAAUGUGGCCGUUCACUCUCUCAAGCCGGCUACUGAUCGUCGCCUUGGUAAGCCGUUACCUUACCAACCAGCUAAUCAGACGCGGGUCCAUCCCAUAGCGAUAAAUCUUUACAAAACAGGACCAUGCGGUCCCGCUUUCCCAUGCGGUAUUAGCAGCCGUUUCCAGCUGUUCGUCCCCCUCUAGUGGGGCAGGUUACCCACGUCGUUACUCACCCGUCCGCCACUCAGUCAUCCCAUAUCGCUUCCUUCCCAGCAAGCUGGUUCUGUCUGGCGGGUGGAUGCUUUCGUCGUACUUGCUAUGGUGUUAGGCACGGCCGUCCGAGUCGUU